rnacentral:lncRNA from 1 species
AUGGUGAUUAGCGAACAGGAAGAGGUGGUGAGAGACCUGAGUGACUCCAUCUUGGAUAAAACCUCCAUAGGACUGACCCAGCCCUGGGCCCUGUUCCAAGAAAAACCACAAUACUUGGAAUGGAUAGAGAACAACUCCCCCGCCAAUGGUCAAUUAACCAGGGACAGGAAGGUACUAAAAGUCCAGAUGUCUUUUCAGAUUUCCUGAAGCCAGCAGUUUAUGGUUUGGCACUGAGCUGCAACCAAUCAGAUGUUUGCCAAGCUGGAGACCCCCUACUCUUCUACUUGCUGAACUUGCUGACAUAAACCUAUAAAAACCUCCGUAUCCCAAAGCAAGGGGUCUCACAUCUGAGACCCGCUGAGUCGGUGACAGAGUGGGCCCAAGCUUAAGCUUGCAGCAACAAAAGAACCCUUGUGUAUUUGCAUCGGUCGGCUCCUUGGUGGUCUUUGGGGUCUUGCGAACUGGGCACAACAGUGGUGACCCUGUAGAGAUAAGUCACUGUAGUUAGUGGCUGAGGAAGAUUGGGUCAACUGGGAACAAGAGGAGCUAACCUCAGGAUUUGAGACCUGCCGCUUCCCACAGAUAGCUAGAGAAGAGUAAACAUACUGAAAC